rnacentral:rRNA from 1 species
GACGAACGCUGGCGGCGUGCCUAAUACAUGCAAGUAGAACGCUGAAGGAGGAGCUUGCUUCUCUGGAUGAGUUGCGAACGGGUGAGUAACGCGUAGGUAACCUGCCUGGUAGCGGGGGAUAACUAUUGGAAACGAUAGCUAAUACCGCAUAACAGUAGAUAUCGCAUGAUAUCUACUUGAAAGGUGCAAUUGCAUCACUACCAGAUGGACCUGCGUUGUACUAGCUAGUUGGUGAGGUAACGGCACACCAAGGCGACGAUACAUAGCCGACCUGAGAGGGUGAUCGGCCACACUGGGACUGGGACACGGCCCAGACUCCUACGGGAGGGAGCAGUAGGGAAUCUUCGGCAAUGGACGGAAGUCUGACCGAGAAACGCCGCGUGAGUGAAGAAGGUUUUCGGAUCGUAAAGCUCUGUUGUAAGAGAAGAACGAGUGUGAGAGUGGAAAGUUCACACUGUGACGGUAUCUUACCAGAAAGGGACGGCUAACUACGUG